rnacentral:rRNA from 1 species
CACGUAGGGCGCAAGCGUUGUCCGGAAUUAUUGGGCGUAAAGAGCUCGUAGGCGGUCUGUUGCGUCCGCUGUGAAAACUCGGGGCUUAACCCCGAGCCUGCAGUGGAUACGGGCAGACUAGAGGUAGGUAGGGGAGAAUGGAAUUCCCGGUGUAGCGGUGAAAUGCGCAGAUAUCAGGAGGAACACCGAUGGCGAAGGCAGGUCUCUGGGCCAUUACUGACACUGAGGAGCGAAAGCGUGGGGAGCGAACAGG